rnacentral:rRNA from 1 species
AGAGUUUGAUCCUGGCUCAGAUUGAACGCUGGCGGCAUGCCUUACACAUGCAAGUCGAACGGCAGCACGGGUGCUUGCACCUGGUGGCGAGUGGCGAACGGGUGAGUAAUGCAUCGGAACGUACCCGGAAGUGGGGGAUAACGUAGCGAAAGUUACGCUAAUACCGCAUAUUCUGUGAGCAGGAAAGAGGGGGAUCGCAAGACCUCUCGCUUUCGGAGCGGCCGAUGUCGGAUUAGCUAGUUGGUGGGGUAAAGGCCUACCAAGGCGACGAUCCGUAGCGGGUCUGAGAGGAUGAUCCGCCACACUGGAACUGAGACACGGUCCAGACUCCUACGGGAGGCAGCAGUGGGGAAUUUUGGACAAUGGGCGAAAGCCUGAUCCAGCCAUGCCGCGUGAGUGAAGAAGGCCUUCGGGUUGUAAAGCUCUUUCAGACGGAAAGAAAUCUCUUGGGUGAAUAUCCCGGGAGGAUGACGGUACCGUAAGAAGAAGCACCGGCUAACUACGUGCCAGCAGCCGCGGUAAUACGUAGGGUGCGAGCGUUAAUCGGAAUUACUGGGCGUAAAGCGUGCGCAGGCGGUUUUGUAAGACAGGCGUGAAAUCCCCGGGCUCAACCUGGGAAUGGCGCUUGUGACUGCAAAGCUGGAGUGCGGCAGAGGGGGAUGGAAUUCCGCGUGUAGCAGUGAAAUGCGUAGAUAUGCGGAGGAACACCGAUGGCGAAGGCAAUCCCCUGGGCCUGCACUGACGCUCAUGCACGAAAGCGUGGGGAGCAAACAGGAUUAGAUACCCUGGUAGUCCACGCCCUAAACGAUGUCUACUAGUUGUUGGGGUAGCAAUACCUCAGUGACGCAGCUAACGCGUGAAGU